UGCAGAGUGGUCUCAGUAUCUUGGACUUGUAUUCCUUUGUGUGAUAUUCACUGAAUGAUGAAGACAUUGCAAUAUGGAGCAAUUAUAUUGCAUGGACUUCUAGACCAAAUUAACAGACAACCACCAUAUUUAUGAGGGUAUUCCACAUGUAACAAAUGCAGAAUCUGCGACUCCAUUAGUAACAUGUUUCUACAAAGAUUGGGUCUUUUAUUUCGGUAAAAACCAGAGUUGAAUGGUCAUGGAACUGUUUCUCUGUGCAGCCCUGGUCAUUUUAUAGUGGGCCGUGAUAGCGUGGUUCAAGACCGCAGAUGACCUUACCGAGAUGGGCCUUUGGGCCUCAUCACCGAGCAAGUAGAUCUCUUCAGCGAGCUGGGCCUCUGGGCCCAUAACCGAAUAAAUAGACCUCUGGGAGAUGCGCGAUGGGCGUUUGGGCCCAUCACCGAACAAGUGGAUCUCGGAGAGUUAGGCCUUUAGCAAGUUUUCAUUCUUCUCCUUUUUUUUAAUUUUUAACGAGAUAGCAGUGUAUCUUUCAUUCUCUCCAAACACCUUGAAAGUUAUGACAUCAAUGUUAUAAGUGGAACUGAGAUUUUUUUUAUAACCGAUAAUGACAUUAUACAAAUUUGUAU